rnacentral:rRNA from 1 species
UACGUAGGGUCCAAGCGUUAUCCGGAUUUACUGGGCGUAAAGCGUACGUAGGCGGGUAUUUAAGUGCGAUGCGAAAUCUGGUGGCUCAACCAUCUAGACUGUGUCGCAUACUGGAUACCUAGAGGACGGCAGAGGCAAGUGGAAUUGGUAGUGUAGCAGUGAAAUGCGUAGAUAUUACCAGGAACACCAAUGGCGAAGGCAGCUUGCUGGGCCGACCCUGACGCUGAGGUACGAAAGCGUGGGGAGCGAACAGG